GUAGGUGGCAAGCGUUGUCCGGAAUUACUGGGCGUAAAGCGCGCGCAGGCGGUCCUUUAAGUCUGAUGUGAAAGCCCACGGCUCAACCGUGGAGGGUCAUUGGAAACUGGGGGACUUGAGUACAGAAGAGGAAAGCGGAAUUCCAAGUGUAGCGGUGAAAUGCGUAGAGAUUUGGAGGAACACCAGUGGCGAAGGCGGCUUUCUGGUCUGUAACUGACGCUGAGGCGCGAAAGCGUGGGGAGCAAACAGGGAUUAGAUACCCUGGUAGUCCACGCCGUAAACGAUGAGUGCUAAGUGUUAGGGGGUUUCCCGCCCCUUAGUGCUGCAGCUAACGCAUUAAGCACUCCGCCUGGGGAGUACGCCGCAAGGCUG
rnacentral:rRNA from 1 species